CAGCAGCCGCGGGAAUACGUAGGGUGCGAGCGUUAAUCGGAAUUACUGGGCGUAAAGCGUGCGCAGGCGGUUAUAUAAGACAGAUGUGAAAUCCCCGGGCUCAACCUGGGACCUGCAUUUGUGACUGUAUAGCUAGAGUACGGUAGAGGGGGAUGGAAUUCCGCGUGUAGCAGUGAAAUGCGUAGAUAUGCGGAGGAACACCGAUGGCGAAGGCAAUCCCCUGGACCUGUACCGACGCUCAUGCACGAAAGCGUGGGGAGCAAACAGGAUUAGAGACCCCUGUAGUCCCUGUCUCUUAUAC
rnacentral:rRNA from 1 species